rnacentral:rRNA from 1 species
AGGGAUCAUUACCGAGUUUACAACUCCCAAACCCAAUGUGAACCAUACCAAACUGUUGCCUCGGCGGGGUCACGCCCCGGGUGCGUCGCAGCCCCGGAACCAGGCGCCCGCCGGAGGGACCAACCAAACUCUUUACUGUAGUCCCCUCGCGGACGUUAUUUCUUACAGCUCUGAGCAAAAAUUCAAAAUGAAUCAAAACUUUCAACAACGGAUCUCUUGGUUCUGGCAUCGAUGAAGAACGCAGCGAAAUGCGAUAAGUAAUGUGAAUUGCAGAAUUCAGUGAAUCAUCGAAUCUUUGAACGCACAUUGCGCCCGCCAGUAUUCUGGCGGGCAUGCCUGUCCGAGCGUCAUUUCAACCCUCGAACCCCUCCGGGGGGUCGGCGUUGGGGAUCGGGAACCCCUCAGACGGGAUCCCGGCCCCGAAAUACAGUGGCGGUCUCGCCGCAGCCUCUCCUGCGCAGUAGUUUGCACAACUCGCACCGGGAGCGCGGCGCGUCCACGUCCGUAAAACACCCAACUUCUGAAAUGUUGACCUCGGAUCAGGUAGGAAUACCCGCUGAACUUA